GACGAACGCUGGCGGCGUGCUUAACACAUGCAAGUCGAGCGGUAAGGGCCCUUCGGGGUACGACGAGCGGCGAACGGGUGAGUAACACGUGGGUGACCUGCCCUCAGCUCUGGGAUAAGCCUGGGAAACCGGGUACUAAUACCGGAUAUGACUCCAUGACGCAUGUUGUGGGUGGAAAGCCUUGUGCGGCUGAGGAUGGGCCCGCGGCCUAUCAGCUUGUUGGUGGGGUGAUGGCCUACCAAGGCGACGACGGGUAGCCGGCCUGAGAGGGCGACCGG
rnacentral:rRNA from 1 species